AUAUUUAUAUUUAUAUACUUUAAUGCCAUACAUGCAAAGACGGGUUUGUUUGGUGAAAGGCAUGGUAGACCAAAUCCCGGCUGGUCCGACAUCUGACCAAAUCCGAUGGGUGGAAAUGGUCUACCACAACCAGGACGCACGUCAUUCAGUAAUGAUCCUUCCGCAGGUUCACCUACGGAAA
rnacentral:misc_RNA from 1 species